rnacentral:ncRNA from 1 species
AAAAACGAACGGUAAGACCGUUGCAAGCUGUUCGGGGUGUUCCCUUCCAUAGGUUGGCAUGAGCCUCGACGCAAGAAGCUUGUAAGGCACGCUCUUUUU